ACAUUGUUCUGGAAGCUCCGUGGUUUAAGUCUUGUCAGAGAUUAUGUGCCUAUAUAAGUUGCACUGCUUUGAGAGAAGUUAGCACUUCUAAAUUGUUGUCUGAAUUUUGCAAACUCCACCUAAAGAUGGCGAUGUGGAAUGGUGAAGAACUUUAUGUUCCACGUGUGGAGGACAAGAACUGUAACAUGCGAAGUGUUCAACAUCUCAAGUGUUGAUGAUCUAAUUGCCAACUCCAUGAAUAUUUUAGAGCCAGCACCUGUGGACGCUGAUGGAAAUGAGCGAGAGGAUGUGUUGCAGGCAAAUGAGCCAGUGGAUUUACUCCUCUUACCUGGUAUUCUGUCAUCUUUCCUCUUCUGUUAAU